rnacentral:rRNA from 1 species
GACGGAGGGUGCUAGCGUUGUUCGGAAUCACUGGGCGUAAAGAGCGUGUAGGCGGCCUGGUAAGUCCGCUGUGAAAGUCCAGGGCUCAACCCUGGAAUGCCGGUGGAAACUGUCAGGCUCGAGUCCGGAAGAGGCGAGUGGAAUUCCUGGUGUAGCGGUGAAAUGCGCAGAUAUCAGGAGGAACACCAAUGGCGAAGGCAGCUCGCUGGGACGGUACUGACGCUGAGACGCGAAAGCGUGGGGAGCAAACAGG